GAUGAAGAACGUAGCGAAAUGCGAUAAGUAAUGUGAAUUGCAGAAUUCAGUGAAUCAUCGAAUCUUUGAACGCACAUUGCGCCCCUUGGUAUUCCGAGGGGCAUGCCUGUUCGAGCGUCAUUAUAACCCCUCAAGCUCAGCUUGGUGUUGGGGCCUGCUGCACUGGCAGCCCUUAAAUUCAGUGGCGGCGCCAUCUGGCUCUAAGCGUAGUAAUUCUUCUCGCUAUGGAGUCCUGGUGGAUGCUUGCCAUCAACCCCCAAUUUUUCUAUGGUUGACCUCGGAUCAGGUAGGGAUACCCGCUGAACUUAAGCAUAUCAAUAAGCGGAGGA
rnacentral:misc_RNA from 1 species